UUUCUCCCCCUUCCCCCGGGCGCAGAUGGAUCCAUUGCUACGGCGCAGACGGGCUCCCGCGGCGAGCGGCUCGCGCGGACGCGUGGCCGUUGCGACGCGCGGGAUGCAGCCGCGUUUUCCCCGGCAGCAGCCGGGGUGGAGGGGUAGGAGCUGCAAGGAGGGGGGUAGCCCGAAACUGAGAGCCCUGAAAUCUGGGCCUGGGCUGGAUGCUCCAGGCUGGAGGCAGGUCUGCGCCUGAGGGCUGACUCCUCCCUGAAAGGAAGCGUCCUCGUCCGAUGCUCUGCUGAUGGUGUGUGCUGCUGUUUGCCUGUUAGCUCUGUUUUAGGUUAUGCCGGAAAAAUGCACUUUUUUUUCUCCCCCCAUGGAUGUUUAUAUUUUCCCCCUCUUUCCUGCCGCGGUUAUAGCUGAACUUAGACCCCAGGCUGGAUGCGCGAGUGUGAUGUGCUCUGGAGCAGCCGGAAUCGAUCCGACGAUGCAAAGCCACCGCCGGGGCCGGGAGCCCCCCUCGCUUUAUGUAACGGUCUGAUAAUCCUCCGAGGUCCUGUUUGGUGUUUUUUAAAUAUGAAAACUGUGUAAUGGUGAUUAAUUUUGAGAGGAAAACUUACAUAACACUGCUGACAUGCAGGUGGAUUAUGGUUUUGGAUAUAAAAGCAGGUGAAGGGAAGCUCCCUGUACAGAAAUGAAGGGUGACAUCAGAAAGAUGAAAGAGCCGUGUGAAGAAACGGGUAGAAAUUUUAAUGCUUUGAGAUGAAAAUAUCCUGCACGGCUCCCAGCAUGAAGCCUGUGAGCUCCUUGGGGCGGUGCGCUGCCAACCACUAGGAAAAAGUGAUCUGAGUUUAAAAAAAAUUAACACAAAGAGAAAACUGCAGCUGGGAGAAGAAAUCAAAGAGCCCAGUGUAUGGAUGGAUUUUUCUCCCCUCUCGCGAAGCGCCGGCUCCGAGGCACUCUGUGCGCCGGGAAGGGGCCGAGAGCUGCCGCGGAGACGCGCGGGAGGCUUCAGGAAGGCAGCGGGUUCCCGGGACUGCGGCGGCUUUGCUGCAGCGGUCGCUGAAUCAGCCGCGUUACGAACCCCUCAAACAGGCUGACGGCGGUGGCGGCAUCUCGGGGCCGAGCCGCGGUGGCUGCUCGUAAUUGCUGGUUUGCAAAAAAGCGCAGUGGCAGGCUCUGAAAGGGAGGAGAAGCCUGUCCGGAGAGGGGAAAAAAGCGCUCAGCCAAAAACCCAAAGCAGCUUGCUGGUGUUGGGAGUGACUCAUCUAAUCAAGCUUGUCCAGAUGUCGGAGGAAAUAUUGAAACAUAUCUAAACACUCCUGCCUCCCAAGUGGCUCUUUAGAUCAAUCCAAAAUCUAAUUGUUCUGGCAAUAGAAGUUAACACAGCUGAGGGCAAAUGGUAGAAUAGCAGGAACUGGGAAGAGCUGAUGUAUUUGUCCUUGUUAAAAGCUGUAUUAGAAACUUCAGCCAAUAAAGAGAAUAAGCAAAGACCUGCUGAGGAAGGUCCAGCCUGGGGGGAGAGAAAAAGCCACCUGCAAACCCGAGCCGUUUGGGCGAGACGGGAGCGCCGGUGGCUCUGUCCCGCCGGGGAAGCCGCCGCGCCGCAGCCCUGCGCCGCGCCGACGCCAGGGGCUUUGCACGCGCCCGGCUCCGCCGUCCCGAGCGCGGCGCCGCGGGCGAGAGGGAUUCCGAGCGUCCCCGGCUUCUCAGUGGUGUUCGCAACUGAGCCCUGAGUAAGGUUUAUUUCCAGCAUGUAGUAGGUAUAAAUUUAAACUUUUUUUUUCCCCC